GCGCAGACGAAACUAUUUCUCUAUAAAGUUGAGCUGAAAGGACUCACAGCACAAAAUAAAUAAUAAGACCAGAAGUCUCACUCGAUGUCGGAAUCUUUGAUGUUGAUGUCCCCGCGCAUGUCGGCUCGCGCAUCUUGGCCGCGUCUCGUUUCCAGUGUCCUAAACAAGUGUAAUUUGACAAAUUUACAUGUAAACAUUAAGGAGUGAGGAAGUUAAAACGAUACCAAUCGGGUUUUAGAGCUUUGGUGACCAUUUUAAAAGAAUAUAUGAUAAAUUCAAAGGUAAGUCUAUCGUAUUGCAUUGUCUUAAAUGAAUUCUCAGCUAAAAUACGGCAAUAAAUGAAUCAUAAAUUUAGUUAAAUUCACUGUUGACAACGAGGUUGACAGAUCCAAUGAUUUUUUUCCUUGAAUAGCUUUACCAUAGUUAUUUUACCUUAAAAUGUGGCUACCGAGGAUAUCUCUAAGAGAUUUUACACAGAUUAUUUGCACAAUCUCACGAUUUAAUCAUGCUGAUAACAUGAAAAUCCUAUCUCCACAUCAAUAGUUCACCAGUUCAACACUUAUAAGUUAUAAAUUCAAUAUAUUUUUGAACCAGUCCAUAUAUUAUUAUACACAAUGUAGUAUAGUUAAUUUGACCAUUGAGAAGUAAGGGUGUAUUACAUUACACAGACACUGCUGAAUUUUAGGUUACAUGCCAUUGGAUUGAUAUAUAAAAACAUUUGUAAAAACACACAUUAUCUUGUUGAUAGAAUAGUUAUUUGCAGUAUACUAACUGUUGGCAUACUCUAUUUCAGGCCUAUCAAUUGUUCUUGUCACUGGCAAUCUUUGAAAUACAAUCUUGCUCUGUGGCCUUUACUGACAAGUUGGCUUUUACUACAUAUGUGGCACUGACACCUCUUUAAUUAAUGCACCAGUCAAUGUAAACCCCCCAACCGGGGAGGGGCAGGGUUUUGACUUGGAGGGGUAGUAAAAGAGCAAAAUUGUCCCGCCCCCAGGGACAUCAAUGUCCCCUGCAUGUCUCUCAACCACGGGAAUAUAGUUUUGUAUAAUCAUAGAUCAGCAAUAGAAAAUCAAAUUCAUUUAUGUUGUUGUAUUUAAACUUUUCUUGUCAAGAAAACUAAAACAGCAACACAGGAUAUAUACAUAUAUUAACCACCGUCCAAGUCUCCCAUCAUUGUGGCAAAUUUAUAAUCAAAACGGACCACUUUCCCCACUAAACCUCCCGCCCCUCCCCGGUUGGGGGCAGGGUUUACAUUGACUGGUGCAUAACUAGAUGAUUGCAUGAAAGUUGAUUUACGUAUAAUUAGUUUAUGAAUAAACUCGCACUUUCAUUGUAGAGGUUAAGAUUUGAGUUCUACUAGCACUAUCUCUGACUGCCUUAGUAUGCAUCUGAUUGGUUAUAAUGGUUGAUCGAAUAUAUCAAAUGCAUUUGAUGGUCCCUUAAUGGUAAUGGUAGUCAAAUCUGAACCUCUAUAAUGUCAAUGAAGAAUGCAUACUGGAAAAGUAUCAACUUAAAUUUUAAUUGUCAAAUUAUGUUGUGGAAAGUAAAUAAAUCGAACAAUUCUGUUUGUUUCAACUAACUAGUUCACUGUCACUUUGGUUUUCAAAUCAAAGAAUCUUUAGCCUGGUUGAGC
rnacentral:lncRNA from 1 species